ACCCUUGAAUAUCAGCUAGCUCCAGGAGAACAGGGAUGGUGUAUAUUUGUUUUUAUUCUGUUUCCCUAGCACUUAGCAUAGUGCUAAACUUACACUGGGUCCUCAAGGAGUAUUUGUUGAAUGAGCAUUUUUCUUUGUGUUAGUGCAGGAAGACUUUGGAAACUGAAUUGUUAAGAGUUUAUUUAUUUAUUUAUUUUCUUGAAUAAACAUCUCAAAGACAAUGUUGAUUGGGAAAAAUAUAUUUAGAAAAGUUUUUUUUUUAACCCCCCCUGGAGAUUUAAGAUAAUAGGAGUAAAAUUAGAGAUUUACCAAAAUCAGAUGAUGAUUUGCAGCUUUAAAUUAACUUAAGCCUUUGAUUGUCCUUUUAGCUACAAGGGAGGUCCUGGGUUGUAACUCAUUCAUAUUUUGAUAAACUAGUGCUUUAUGGAACCUAGUCUGCAAUGUAUUGUUUGAGAUGGGCCCCCGUUGUUGGCUAGAUACAGUGUAUAUUGCUUGGAAGCUGGCAUCCUUUUGGGGAGCAGGCUGAGAGAUGGUGAUCCCCAAGAAGAGAAUCGUGGUAGAAUUCUUUGGUAACUCCAUCAUAAAGGAUGCCCUUGUUCAUUCUUUUGGUGCCCUGGCUGCUUCCCGCCAUGAAGGGACCAGAGCUCAUCCCCAUCUCCCUGCUGGUGGAAUGGACACAACAUGCCAUGAACUUUGUUCCCACAACAUAAACCACACACAGAAGGUAUAGGGAUGUGAUUCUGUGGUGUGACCGCAUGGCAUGGUUUCUGCAGGCUGACCUCAGCUUCUACGCUGCAUCCUAAGGCCACUUAGCUACAGGCCUUUGGUUGAAAUUCACAUCUCUGCAGAACCAUACCUGGCACUUCUGCCCACACUUGCCAAGGAUGGAUUUUGCACACUUCUUCUUCCCAGGUGUUCUCUGGCAACUAUCAAAGGACCAUUGGAGGCCCUUUUUUGUGGCUUUUUACAAAAGCCCUAUCUCCUGCCUGAGUCACAUGACUUCACUCUGCUUCUUCCUUUUAGUUAAUCUUGUUUUCAGGAACCCUCCUUCCUUCCUCUGAAGGCUUGUGUAUGCUUAUGCACUCACUCACACACACAUACACACUCACAGUCACACUCUUCCGGUGCCCUGAUGCUCCCUUAUUCUAGGUCAGGCCUCAUAUUGCCAUUCAAGUCAAGCUUUCUUUGCACAUGCGAGUUCUC
rnacentral:lncRNA from 1 species